UGAGCGUGCGUGCCUCUGCGUGAGCGUGCAUGCCUGUCUCUCAGCCAAGAUGGAUUCCAGUGAGAGUAAUUUUGGGAGGUUGGUAGGACUUUGGGACCAGCCUCUCCUCUCUCCUUAAGAGGUUUCUCGAAUUCUUCCAGUUGUCGCUACCUUGUUCUGCAUUCCUUACCAGGACUCCCUGUUUAAGCUAACUCAUACAAGUGGUUAGUAUGGUGCCUGGCCAGGGUGGGCAGUUUCAGUUAAUGGUUUCCCUAACAGGACUCUGAGCUUUCACAACUGAAGGCGCAAGUUUAAUCACUAGUCCAGGAGCUAAUCGCAUGCUGCAAGCCACACACAACGGCAAAAAAGAAGAAAAGGAUAUAAAGAGAUUCAGGAAGAUUACCGUGGCCUUGGUGGCUUGACCACGCAGAAAGCACUGAGGAUAACAAAGCGCAUGAGAUAAAGUCUCUGAUCUUAUAUCACUUGUACUCUAAUGGACAACAAAUAAUCAAAUUGAGAAUGUUGAACAGAAUCCAGCAUUGACUAAAGGCAGCUCCCAUAGACAUUGCAAAGGUGUUUUGAUGGAUGGCAGAAAUACCUGGUUAAGUGUAUAUCCUACCAAGAAGACCACAGAAGGGAUCCUAAAUCAUUUAGGUUUGAUGAAGAGUAGAAAGUCAGGAGGAGAAAAUGAGACAAGGCAGAUGGUUGAACACAGGUAGUCAACUACCUGUUGACUGCAGGGCCUGUUGACAAACAGGGCCUGUUUGGAUUCAUCUUGAGCCCUCUGUCUUCAGAGGUAAGGACACUUCUCUUAUAGGAGGGUCUCAUGACCUGCUUCAGGGAUGAAGAGGGAGGUCAAAGAGUCCUUCCUGCGCAUGCUUUCUCAAAGUCCUCCAGCUUAAAAUAGUCAUUAUGCCAAGGUGCCAUAUUUUGAGGUAGCAUGUUCUGAACCUCAUCAAAG
ensembl:lncRNA